GAGUAGCUGGGAUUACAGGCACACACCACCACACCCGGCUAAUUUUUGUAUUUUUAGUAGAGAUGGGGUUUUACCAUGCUGCCCAGGCUGGUCUCGAACUCCUGACCUCAAGUGACCUGUCCACCUUGGCCUCCUAAAGUGCUGGGAUUACAGGUUAUUGGGUUGCUGAACUCCCAUGAACCAAAAAGAAAACACUGAAUGGUAUCCAAACCAGCCUGGAAAGGACAGCGAGAAAAGCCAGAACCAAGGCUGACCAGCCUGAAUGCUGGUAAAUGUUAUCAAGAUUUCUCUAUUCAUGCUACUCAACAUCCCAAAAAGAAUCAGCAUAAGGCCACAAACUCAACAAAAUUCCUUCUCCUGUUCAUUAAACUCCUGUCCUGACUCCAAGUUCACACCUAAAUAAACAGGCAAGCCUGUGCUCUGCACCCUGAGGAACAGUCUCCUAGGCUUUGUCCUUGCAGAGAGCCCAUUUCCAAGGACAGGCCGUCCAUCUACCCAGCUUUUCUCAAGGCCACAUAGCUCCUCUCUAAAGACAGCCAUCCCCAGGGGUUCAGUUGAUCCUGACAGCUGCGCCUACAGAGAAAGAAGGGAAGAGAGAUGGGAGAGGAAGAUCUCCCAGGAGUCAGGAUGCAAGGUGAAGCCAGCUGUUGAUCAGCGGUCACUCAGCAGCUAGACCAUGCGACACUCUCCUUCUGAAGGCUGCAGGCUGUGAGAGUGUUCUGAGUGGCAUUUAAGGAUAGCUCCCAUGCAGCGUGCCAGCUUCGGCAGGGCCUCCUAUGGUAAGCCCUAAAACACAGAGGGAAAAGAAUAACCAAGUGGAAGUGGAUCAUCAUGCCAUCUAUCAGAGACAAUGCAUGUGAGAAUGCUGCUACUAAAUGAAUGAAAAACGCUUUGUAAACUCAAAGUCUGUGGUUCUCAAACUUGAGCAUGUAUCUUUUUUUUUUUUUUUAAAUUAAAACGCUGAUUUACUUGGCC
rnacentral:lncRNA from 1 species